AUUGAACGCUGGCGGCAUGCUUUACACAUGCAAGUCGAACGGUAACAGGCCGCAAGGUGCUGACGAGUGGCGAACGGGUGAGUAAUGCAUCGGAACGUGACCAGUCGUGGGGGAUAACGCAGCGAAAGCUGCGCUAAUACCGCAUACGAUCUAUGGAUGAAAGCGGGGGACCGUAAGGCCUCGCGCGAUGCUAGCGGCCGAUGUCAGAUUAGGUAGUUGGUGGGGUAAAGGCUCACCAAGCCGACGAUCUGUAGCGGGUCUGAGAGGACGACCAGCCACACUGGGACUGAGACACGGCCCAGACUCCUACGGGAGGCAGCAGUGGGGAAUUUUGGACAAUGGGGGCAACCCUGAUCCAGCAAUGCCGCGUGCAGGAAGAAGGCCUUCGGGUUGUAAACUGCUUUUGUACGGAACGAAACGGCUCUGGUUAAUACCCGGGGCUAAUGACGGUACCGUAAGAAUAAGCACCGGCUAACUACGUGCCAGCCGCCGCUGUAACAC
rnacentral:rRNA from 1 species